rnacentral:rRNA from 1 species
CGCUGGCGGCAUGCCUAACACAUGCAAGUCGAACGGGGGUAGCAAUACCCUAGUGGCGAACGGGUGAGUAACACAUAAGCAAUCUGCCCUUCACAGGGGGAUAACAGCGGGAAACUGCUGCUAAUACCGCAUAAGACCACAGUACCGCAUGGUACAGGGGUAAAAACGAAUCAGUGGUGAAGGAUGAGCUUAUGUCCCAUUAGCUAGUUGGUGAGAUAACAGCCCACCAAGGCGACGAUGGGUAGCCGACCUGAGAGGGUGAUCGGCCACACUGGAACUGAGACACGGUCCAGACUCCUACGGGAGGCAGCAGUGGGGAAUAUUGGGCAAUGGAGGAAACUCCUUACCCAGCAAUGCCGCGUGAGUGAAGAAGGUCUUCGGAUUGUAAAGCUCUUUGAUUGGGGACGAAGAAAGUGACGGUACCCAAAGAACAAGCCCCGGCUAACUACGUGCCAGCAGCUGC